CAAAAUGUAGCUAAACUAGUAAAGCAUCUCCCUUACACCGAGAAGACACCUGUGCAAUUCGGGCCAUUUUGA
rnacentral:tRNA from 1 species